UACAGGGGGGGCAAGCGUUGUUCGGAAUUACUGGGCGUAAAGGGUUCGUAGGUGGCCAACUUAGUCAGACGUGAAAUCCCUCAGCUUAACUGGGGAACUGCGUCUGAUACUGGAUGGCUUGAGUGCAGGAGAGGAACGCGGAAUUCCAGGUGUAGCGGUGAAAUGCGUAGAUAUCGGAAGGAACAUCAGUGGCGAAGGCGACUUCCUGGACCAAUACUGACGCUCAGGUGCGAAAGCGUGGGGAGCAAACAGG
rnacentral:rRNA from 1 species